AUUCCAGCUCCAGUAGCGUAUAUUAAUGUUGUUGCAGUUAAAAAGCUCGUAGUUGGAUUUCUAGCCGACGUUAGUGGUCCCCAACGCUCAGCGUAGGGCGUACCGCACGCGUCGUCUAUCCUAUCAGUUUGUCUGGUUUCGGCCGGGCUGACUGGUUCUUUUACUUUGAAAAAAUUAGAGUGUUUAAAGCAGGCUUGCGCAAUGAAUACAUUAGCAUGGAAUAAUAAUAUAGGACUUCGGUCUCUACUUUAUUGGUUCUGGAGUUGAAGUAAUGAUUGAUAGGGAUAGUUGGGGGUGCUAGUAUUGAGUGGCCAGAGGUGAAAUUCUUAGAUUCACUCAAGACUAACUUAUGCGAAAGCAUCCACCAAGGAUGUCUUCAUCG
rnacentral:rRNA from 1 species